CUUCAAGAUAAGAGUUGCAGAAAGUGGGUGGUAGUAUAAAUCAAGAUUGGUUAUGAGUUGAGAAUUUUUGAGUAAUAGGUAUAUGGGGACUAAGUAUUCUAUUCUUCAUACUUUUACAUGCCGUAAAUCCCCACUUAUCUGCAGGGAAUGUGUUCCAAGACCCCCAGUGGAUGCCUGAAACUGAGAAUAGUACUGGACCCUGUAUAUACUGUGUUUUUUCUUUCCUUAUUGAGAACUUUUAUGUUUUCACUUAAAGGAAGGACUUUACAGCUUCUCUUUCGCAUAUCCAAAUUGCCAGCAUCACCGCUCUUGCACUCCAAGCCAUUAUUAAGUAAAGUAAAGAACACAAACACUGUGAUACUGCUACACUUGAUCUGAUAACCAAGAAGUCUACUAAGUGACUAACAGGUGGGUAGCAUAUACAGCAUAGAUACACUGGACAAAGGGAGGACUCACAUCCUGGGCAAGAUGGAGCAGAAUGGCAGAGUUCAUCAUGCUGCUCAAAAUGAUGUGCAAUUUAAAACUAAUGAAUUAUUUCUGGAAUUUUUCAGUUAAUAUUUUUGGACAUGAGGUGACUGCAGUUAACUAAAACCAUGGAAAGCAAACCCAUAGAUAAAGGGAUACUAUGAGCAACUGGGAACCUAAUUCUGACCAAAAAGGAGGAAUUGUUUGGCUAAUUGGAAGUGACAGAAACCUUGGGAGAAAGCAACCGCAUACCAAGGAUAAUUAUAAGAAGAAGAGAAGACAUGGAGAAGAGGAGGGAGUAGUUGUGACCGUGGAGGCAGAGAAUGGAGUAAUGUGAUCAUAAAUCAAGGAAUGCUGACAGCCACUAAAGCUGGAGAAGGCCAAGGACAGAUAUUCAAUCCUCCCGUAGAAGUACAGCCCUGCUAAUGCAUUGAUUUUGGACUUCUGGCCUCAGAACUAUUUAUAUAUCAGCUUUUUAUCAGUUGAAAUAAACCACCCUGGGCCGGGUGCAGUGGCUCACACCUGUAAUCCCAGCACUUUGGGAGGCCG
rnacentral:lncRNA from 1 species